AUUGAACGCUGGCGGCAUGCCUUACACAUGCAAGUCGAACGGUAACAGGUCUUCGGAUGCUGACGAGUGGCGAACGGGUGAGUAAUACAUCGGAACGUGCCUAGUAGUGGGGGAUAACUACUCGAAAGAGUGGCUAAUACCGCAUGAGAUCUACGGAUGAAAGCAGGGGAUCGCAAGACCUUGUGCUACUAGAGCGGCCGAUGGCAGAUUAGGUAGUUGGUGGGAUAAAAGCUUACCAAGCCGACUAUCUGUAGCUGGUCUGAGAGGACGAUCAGCCACACUGGGACUGAGACACGGCCCAGACUCCUACGGGAGGCAGCAGUGGGGAAUUUUGGACAAUGGGCGAAAGCCUGACCCAGCAAUGCCGCGUGCAGGAUGAAGGCCUUCGGGUUGUAAACUGCUUUUGUACGGAACGAAAAGCUCUGGGUUAAUACCCUGGGGUCAUGACGGUACCGUAAGAAUAAGCACCGGCUAACUACGUGCCAGCAGCCGCCGCCG
rnacentral:rRNA from 1 species